rnacentral:rRNA from 1 species
CACGUAGGCACCAAGCGUUGUCCGAAUUUAUUGGGCGUAAAGAGCUCGUAGGCGGUUCGGUAAGUCGGAUGUGAAAACUUUGGGCUCAACCCAAAGCGUGCAUUCGAUACUGCCGUGACUUGAGUUCGGUAGGGGAGUGGGGAAUUCCUAGUGUAGCGGUGAAAUGCGCAGAUAUUAGGAGGAACACCAGUGGCGAAGGCGACUUUCUGGCCUGUUCUUGACGCUGAGGCGCGAAAGCUAGGGGAGCAAACGGG